GUCCCCGUAGCUCAGCUGGAUAGAGCGCCGGUUUCCUAAACCGUAGGUCGGAGGUUCAAAUCCUCUCGGGGACG
rnacentral:tRNA from 4 species